GAUAGUGUACACGACUGAUAUUAUUAUUCUCGUGCCAAAUAUACGGCCUUGACUUUGGGAUAAUCAUCACGUCUUCGCCAAUGCCAUGAACAUGAAGAGCAAGCAGGAUGAGCUUAAAUGCCGUAGUAAAAUUUGUGACAGGAGAAAUAUCUCAACAAUCUUAGAAAUAAUUUGUUCAAUAUAUCAUAUCCUCAGUCAUGAAUAUGAAAACAUGGUCGGGAGCAGCAAGAGCACGGCAAGAAAUAUUGAAUGUGAAAUGUGCAUCUGAAAUUAUACUGUUUUAAAUUGAUGGAAUUGGACCCCAUGUGAACAGAGGAAUGAACAUAUACAUGUAUUUCAACCAAUAAUCGAAUUUUUAAAAAAUGAUUCAAAAAUAUUUUAUUUACCCCAAGUUGUCACAAAUGUUGUUAGACUCCAGUGAAAUUGCUUUCAUGUUAAAAUCAUAAAGAAUAAAAAACGUGAUUUACAAACA